UGGGGAAUAUUGCACAAUGGGCGAAAGCCUGAUGCAGCGACGCCGCGUGAGCGAAGAAGGCCUUCGGGUCGUAAAGCUCUGUCCUAUGGGAAGAUAAUGACGGUACCAUAGGAGGAAGCCCCGGCUAACUACGUG
rnacentral:rRNA from 1 species